GGCAGGGCUGGAAAUAUAACAGGUGUGCCUUUUUGAGGCUGGAUUUUUAGUGAAGGGGUACACUCCAAAGACCCUUCUCUCCGCUGCACCCCGUUUGUUGUCUCAGCCUUCACUCGACUCCAGCCGCUGAACUCUGAUAUGCUGAGGCUAGCUGGGUGGAGCCCUGGGGGGGGUCUCCCUAGACCCCAGUCUCCGGAGCAGGGCCCACUGGAGUCAGCCAGGGUGUGGCCGGCAGGUUGGUUAACCCCCUCCACAGACAAGACCACAGACAGGUGCUCAACUUGCACCAGCCUCUACCUCAUCCCUUAAAGGAGUUGAUUAUAGAUUCCGUUGCAUUGCCUCUCUAAUUGUCUCAUGAUUGCAUUCUUGAGGGCUAUGGACUGAGGGAAAAGGAUCCCAAACAGCGCUCCUCAGCAUCGGAAUCAGAGUUGCUGCCAAACACGUAUUAACUAACUCGUUUUUAUCUGAACGCUUUUGCAUACACAAUGCUAUGCUUCACGUGGCCGACUGGAGAAAAGAAGCGAAAAGUAUAUGCCUUAUCUGGAAGACUUGGUGAUUUCGUUGGGUAAACAAAAACUACACACAAAGGUCUUGAAUGAUAAAUGAUGGCUAUGGCUAGGGUUGAUUCAGUGUGAAGGUUCCAUUCAAGAGUAAGGAGGCCACCACAGGGAAUCUCUGUCCCUCUCAGGAAGUGGGGGGGGCGCCUAACAAGUUGCCCUCUCCCAGGUCAGCUCAGGUACUGAGCGGGUACUGGGCAGCCACCCUUCUCACCCGCUCGCCACCUGAGGCUUUCUUGGAGGCACUGGACUUUCUUGGACGUACGGGGGUUAUUUGAGAGCGGGGGGCGGAAGAGAAUCUCGACCCCGGUACGUUUCUAUUUCGACUUCCUCCGCCCCGAAUUUCCUGGCCAUCCUUGUGCCUGCGUUUUCCUGCCUGGAAUCCCCAGCGCGAGGCGGGAUCUUUUCCACUCAGAGGUUAUGCCUCCACCUCAUUGCCCUGAAAGCCGCAGCGACAGUGAAAAGGGCUAAGAUUUGGCCAUGAGCAGCGCCCCCCGGCGCCCUGCCACGGGCGCAGAUUCUUUCUGCACG